UUUGUGCCCACUCCGCCUGGAAAUACAUGUUAUCAAAAUGAAUAAAAGGAGAUGUAUCUAUAUGUAUUUUAGUUUUAGAUACAUCCUUUUUUGUCCGUUUUGAUGACAAGUAUUUUCGAACGGAGGAAGUAGCAA
rfam:Triticum aestivum genome assembly, contig: Triticum_aestivum_CS42_TGACv1_scaffold_408394_5BL